UAUGGCUUUAGAGCAGGCUUAGGGCUUGACCCAAUCACAGUGACCUUGCUGAGUCACUCAGCUCUGCCUGCUGCAGCCAGUGUAAACCUGCUCUAGGGUAGGCUAAUGAGAAUCUGGGAUACAUAACAUCAUGGUCGCUCGGGAGGGAUGAAGAUAAUGACUCUAGGAUGAACAUCAGGGAACUACAUGCAGCCCGGGUCCCCAUGAGAGUUGGCCUCUCUGCUGCACUUCCUGUGGAGUUCCAGUCACAGAGGGCUGGCGGGUUCCCGGCCUCUGCUCCAUCUCUUUCAGUUCAGUGGGCACCCCGCAUUAUGCUCUCUCCCCUCAUAACUCCAUUCCAAAUCAGAGCCUUGAAUGGUGGCUCAGUUAGGUCUCAAGUCCCACCCCAAGUCUUUGCUGCAAUGAAGUUUUCAGGAGUGGGAGCCUGUGAAACUGGAGUAGGCGCUGGGCAAGGCAAUGUGCCCGCUUGCCACCCUAACCAAGUGUGCUCGCGCUAUCUCCGUUCAACCUUGGGCCUCCUUCCAGCCACUCUGCUGUAGUGUACACGAGGGACAGCUGCAAAGCCACAAUAAGUUUUCCUCCACAGCUUCUGCAGUCAGGGUGUGUGUCCCCAGGCAAAAUUUGAUCAGGCUUGGGCUGGUUUCAUCCGACCAAGGUCUGGAGGAAGAGUUGAUAAAGAGAGAUUGCAUUCUGUCUCCAAGCUCUAAGGGAAGGACAGCCGUGGUUGGCUUUGCUCAUUUUUAUAGCUGCCAUUCUAAACAUGGGUCUUGACAUAUAGUAGGCACACGGUAAAUAUUUGUUAAGUAAGCAAGUAAAUGGGCAAAAGUAGAAUUGGGAGAGAAGCCUUUUGGCUUUGAAUAUCAGGCAGGCACAUUCAUUCGAGCCCAUGUUUGCUUAACAAACGCUAAUAACGCUUGCUAUGCUCUAAGAGCUUCACAAAUAUUAACUCAUUUAAUUCUCAUAAUUGCUUGAUGAGAUAUGUGCUGUUAUUAAUCCCAUUAAAAACACAGGCUCAGAGAAAUCAUGUUACUUGCCAAGGUCGCACAGAAGCUGGGAAUACAUGGGAAUGGGCUCCCCAAUUCUCUUGAGCUACCCGGAGAAUUACUGGUUACUGAUUUGGUGUUCUGGGACCAUCCUGAAUAUUGAUCUGUAGUGAAUGCAUAGGGCUUCCCCUUAGUUCCCCUGUGUCUCCUCUUCCAGGCUUCUCUAGAUCAUAUCUGCCCAGGUGUCUUCUUCUUUGUUCCUCUUUCAUCACAGAUGGGCUAUGUGGGCCUCUUAGAAGUCCCAUGAGCCCCAGCAGCCUAGAUGAACUCCACAGUAGGCACAUGACUGAGGGCAACACUCCUCUGCCUAGUUUAGAGCAGAUUUGGGGACUAUACCAACCUUGACUGCUACAGCUUCUUCCAAGAAGCUUCUGGAAAGGUCUCAGCAGCAUCGAGUGAAUAUGCUGUCCCUGCUGUCUCAUAGGGUCUAGUGGGCACUCUCUCCUCAGCUGGUGUAUUUGAAGGGGCUGGAUCCCCUGUAAAGCCAGAUGGAGAGAAAACUCUGAGAAAACUCUGGGGCUCCAGGAAACAUGGAGUCUGUAAAUACUCUGGAGGAUUGGCUCCUUAUAGGUACCAUCAAGGUAAUUUGCAAAUCACAACACAAUUAACAAAACACCAGAGACCGCUGACCGUUCUCACAGAUCACAGGGGCCUGUCAUGUAAGAAGAGGAUGGGGAAAGGAGGGACAGAGGGAAACAGUUAUACUGUUGCUUCAGAGUGCUUCCCAUCAAUCCAUCCCCCUGCCUCUAAGCUCUGCAGCUCUUCCUAAGCUUAGACCUCUUCCUGGGGACCAGGAAGUCCUGAUAUCUAGGGUACUGACCCUCUACUUUAAGACUAUGGAACUCCAGUCUCUUCUCUUACAUGAGGGAACAUCCAACUCCAUGCGGAUCUGCCGCCAAUGACAAGAGUUCCCAUGAGUUUAGGGAGCUGAGGCUCUCUGCAUGUUGGGAGAGCCCCAUGAAAUUAUAGCAGGCCCCGUAGCGCUGAACUUUUUCUGAAUCUCAAAACUACAUUCCCUGCUCAUCUGUGUGGAGCACAGCAUUUUCUUCAGCUGGGUUUUUUGUUCUCCCUCCGGUGUUUACAUGAACUGGCUGAACCCAUCACAUGGUGACUGUGUUUAUAUUUGCAGAAGCACCACCCAAGGGAAGUUCUGUUUGCAUAGAGGUCACCCCAUCUCCUGGGCUUGGCUGCAGCCCCACACAGAGGUUUCAGUAGCAGGACCUGAAGGCAUGCCAGGGCCCUCUCCAUGUUCAUUGUUUUCUUUGCUCCCUUUCUAGGCUCUCCAGCACUCCUAGAGAGGUAGAUGACGACUCGGUGUCUUAGUGAUGAAACACCAUGACCAAAAGCAACUUGGUUCAAUUCAGGACAGCUCUCGAUGUCAAGAGAAGCACAGAUCAGGCCCAUCGACUGGAGUUCUUUCUUCUCCUGGUGUCUGAGGUUAUGUUGUGGCUGCAUGGACCACUUCACCUGAGAUGGGAAAACAGGAAAGUGAGACCAGUUUGAAUGGAAAGGAGAGAGGCAUUAAGAACAUAGAGACUUGGCGCUUGAGGGCAUGUGAACGGAUCUGAGUGGAAGGGAACUUAACCUGGAGGAAAGGCAAGACUGUCUCAUUGUUAACUUGAUUGGAUUAAGAAACACUUGGUGAACCCCACCUUUUGGUGUCUCUGUGAGGUUGUCUCCAGAAAGAUUUAACUGAUGGAGAAAGAUUUGCCCUGAAUACGGAUGAUGCCCUUCCAUCGACUGGGGUCCCAGACUUUAUGAAAAGAGGAAAAAGAAAUUCAGCCAACUUUGGACAUUCUGUUUUUUUCUGUCUCCCAAUUUACUGAGAUAUGAUCAAGCAGCUGCCACACACUCUCACUGCGGGAGACUACCCACCACCAUGCCUUCCCUGUCAUGAUGCAUGGUAUCUUCUCAAACCCUGAGCCACGAUACAUCCUUCCUGCCUUAAGUUGCUUCUCAUCAGGGACUUGAACACAGAGACUAGAAAGGUCACUAAGAUUGUGGACCAUGCUGCACCCACACAACAGUGAGCCCAUCAGACUACUUUGGGAAGGUGUUCCCAGGGAGUACAAUAUGUGACUUUGCACAGAUAACCUUUGUGAAACCCAAACCUCUGAUGUUUUAUAUUGGGAGUUAGGAUGUCCACUUUCACAGUUCAUUAAAGCGACCAAACAAUCCGUUCCCUUUUGGGUUUUCCUAAUUCUUCAAUAGUGAUUUGCAUGUCACCACAGCUUGGUGUGUUAGGCUAGUGGUAGCUAAGGAAUAGAAGAGAGCUGUGGGUGUGUGUGGGGGGAGUUGUUCCUUUAACAGAGAGUGGUAAUGAUCUUUGGGGUAGCAUGGCUCCAAAUACUUGGGGUGACCAGAAGUGGGCCUAGGUGAAGCCUGCAGCAGAGUAUCCUGUAAGGACAUAUGUAAAAAAAUAGUUUGUGUCACUGUUUUGUAAUUGUUUUUAUUGAGAUAUCUUGCUUUGUAGCCUAGACUGCCUGGAAUCAUAGCAAUCCUUGCUCCUAAGUACUGGGAUUGCGACUAUGUAUUUCCACAUAGGGUUAGAAACAAUCUUUGAUCAAGUCCAGCAAAUUCCUACCUAGGACUAAGAGGGACAGGGAAUCUGGGAAGGACUCUUGACUGUCCUUUUAGCUGAAGAGUUGUAGCUUUCAAGGCAGGCAAGUGCUCAGAUUCCUACCAUUGGCUGGCAGUGUGGAUUCUGGCUAUUACUUAGCUUCUAGAUAUGUCUUUUUAAAUAAAAAUAAUUUUUGUUUUUGUUUUUCAGGUUGGCUUAGCAAUGUUGUAUUCAGGUCUGUUUUGGUCAUGACAUCCUAUUGAAUCUACUUGAGAUAAUCUUUAAAAAAUGAAAUCAGUAUUACUAAGA